CAAAAUGUCUGUGCUCUAAAGUAAGUGAAAGUGACGUGAAAACUAGGAUCCCUCAAAAAUUGCCUGACGCAACUCUUAACCAGAAAGUUCAAAAGAGGCAGGGCUGUGCAAUCAAAAUGGCAAAUCAAAUUCGAAGUUCAAAAUUACACGAGGAAAGAGGAAGGCAGUCUUCAAAGAAUAAAAUUUCCCAAUCCAAGCGGCUGACUAUACCUCGAUCCUGUGAACUUUCGCUAACCUUGGACAGGACUACACAGGAACAGGUGUGAAGACACCCUCAUUCUAGGGGCAUACCUGCUGCAGCCACUGCUGGGUACAUACAGCAAGGGGUCCUCGACCCAAUGGCAGUCUCAGCCUUCUGGAUGACGCACCUGGCUAGGGUCUUCUCCCACGUUUGGAUGGCAAAGCCAGCAUCCCCAGCCUACCCUCGCUGGAGGGGACAGGGAAAAGGGCAAGUCGGGGCUGAAUCCUCGCGCUGGACUUCCCGGCUUUCCACCCAUUUCCAGCACAUUGCUUAGGACUGGGAGCGCUCUCUCCUUCACCUCCUACCCUGAGGUCCUGCGCACUUAAAAGGUCGCUCAAAGGCAAGCGAAUCAAGCGCCUCCUGGCCUUGCAGGGCUCAGGUCAGAACUUGUGUGUCAGCCUUCCCUUAGGGAUCUGUUCCUGUUUUGCACUUCAAAGGCCCAUCUGGCAGAUAUCAAAGACUCACGCUAUGCCAUUAAAAAAGGAUUGGAAAGAGAAGAUACCGAAGAUACCAACACUCUAUUUGCCACGUGAGAAGGAAGAAACCCAGCUCCUCACCAUCAGAUGACAAUACCUAUUUUUUUUUGGUGUAGAUAUAUACAUUUUAAAACAUAAUUACAUAAACUAUAUGUAUGUUUACAUAUAAUUUAAAAGAGAUUUUUAAGCAUAUAGGACUUUCUGUAGAUUUUCGAAGAUGAGAAAGAUCUCCUCCAUUGCUGGUUUGCUGGGAGCUUUUUUUAGGAAUGUGUUUCAGACAUUGCUAAAUUCUCUGUCUUCAUAUAUGAUAUGCUCAGGGGGCUUUUUUAGGUUUUCUUGUGGUGGUAGAAUGCAAGGAUUGGCCUUUGAACAUUAUGGCCUUAUAGGUUUAUACUUCAUCCUGGUAUUGAUUUAAACAAAUUGUGAGAUGUUACUUACCAGUGUUAAACUGGAGAUUUUUGUAUCCAUAUCACUAACAAGUAGUGGCUGGUUUUCAUUUCUUGUAAUGUUUCUAUCUGAUUUGAGUUCUGAUAUAAUAUCAGCCUUUUGUAAUAAGUAGGUGAAUGGUCUGUACACUUUAGUCACUGAAAGAGAGUGUGUAGUAGUGGCAUCACAUCUUUAUCUCUUCAUUAAGCAUUUGGUAGG